rnacentral:hammerhead_ribozyme from 1 species
GCACUGCUGAGGAGUCCCAUACUAGGACGAAACGGCCGUCCAGUAU